ACGCUGGCGGCAUGCCUAACACAUGCAAGUCGAACGGACGAUGCCCUUCGGGGCAAAGUUAGUGGCGGACUGGUGAGUAACGCGUGAGCAACCUGCCUUUGAGAGGGGGACAACAGCUGGAAACGGCUGCUAAUACCGCAUGAUGCAGCGAGAUCGCAUGAUCUUGCUGCCAAAGAUUUAUCGCUCAAAGAUGGGCUCGCGUCCGAUUAGAUAGUUGGUGAGGUAACGGCUCACCAAGUCAACGAUCGGUAGCCGGACUGAGAGGUCGACCGGCCACAUUGGGACUGAGAUACGGCCCAGACUCCUACGGGAGGCAGCAGUGGGGAAUAUUGCGCAAUGGAGGCAACUCUGACGCAGCAAUGCCGCGUGAAGGAUGAAGGUUUUCGGAUUGUAAACUUCUUUUGUGAGGGACGAUAAUGACGGUACCUCACGAAUAAGCCACGGCUAACUACGUG
rnacentral:rRNA from 1 species